rnacentral:rRNA from 1 species
UUGGAGGGCAAGUCUGGUGCCAGCAGCCGCGGUAAUUCCAGCUCCAAUAGCGUAUAUUAAAGUUGUUGCAGUUAAAAAGCUCGUAGUUGAAUUUCGGGAUCAAUUUAUUGGUCGUGCUAUUGUACGUACUGGUAUUAUUGAUUCCUACCUUCUGACGAACCAUGAUGUCAUUAAUUUGGUGUCAUGGGGAAUCAGGACUGUUACUUUGAAAAAAUUAGAGUGUUUAAAGCAGGCUCACGCUUGAAUACAUUAGCAUGGAAUAACGAAAUAGGACGUUUGAUUCUAUUUUGUUGGUUUCUAGGAUCGACGUAAUGAUUAAUAGGGAUAGUUGGGGGCAUUAGUAUUCAAUUGUCAGAGGUGAAAUUCUUGGAUUUAUUGAAGACUAACUACUGCGAAAGCAUUUGCCAAGGAUGUUUUCAUUAAUCAAGAACGAAAGUUAGGGGAUCGAAGACGAUCAGAUACCGUCGUAGUCUUAACCAUAAACUAUGCCGACUAGGGAUCGGAUGAUGUUAUUUUUAAUGACUCAUUCGGCGCCUUACGGGAAAC